UUUAUAUAAUUUGAUCACAAAUUAUCAAAAUUAAUUGAUAUAAAUUAUUUUUUGACUACAAAUAAAAAAAUUUAUACGUUAAAAUUCUGAACCACAAUUACGAAUUUAGUCAUAAUCUCACGUUCUUCUAAGACACGUAUUAAUAAUUUGUUACAAAUUAAUAAUUUAUUGAUCACAAUACUCAAAUAAUUAAUCACAAACACUCCUAACUCAACCCAAACCCAAUAACAGCCCCACGAUCGCCACCACCUAUCCACAACCAUCGUCAUCACCCUCGUCACCAUGACUAGCACCACUAUCACUAUUUCCUCUGUCUUCAUCUAUACAACACCAUUACCACCAAAAAAUCAACAAACACGUGAUUGACAUCACCAUCACCGUGGAGCACUGAUACCUCCUGCAUACCACCAUCCCAAAAACCAACACAAAGCACACAUCGCAAAAUCACCACAAAAAAAAAAAAAAAAAAACCAUCACAAAUCGCCAUAGAAAAGUUCAAAAGCCAGGCAAAUGCAACGCCACCGUGAGAUACGUGAAACCACCAUUGUGAUCUUACCAUAGAAGCCAGGCAAAUGCAAUUCCAGAGAACUUAAACCCAAACCUAAAACCAUUGCAUCGUGACUCAACUUUGCUCACAUAAACGCUCUUCGCGGGCAGAGGUGUAGCGCGACACUACUGUUGUGAGAUAUGGUAUCUAUGCCUCCGAUGCCACGCAUUAAUGUUGCUCACAGAGGCACGGCGCAGUAGUACAGUGUUAUUUGCUCGGCGACGUGUUGUGUCAACGAAGGUGCAAUGUUGAUGGAGUUGAUGUGUUGCCGGAGAAGAGGUAAGAUAUAAAAUAGAGAAGUGAAAGAAAGAAGGAGAAUUAGAGAACAAAGAAAGUAAAAUAAUUCAGGGUUUGGGAUGAAUGUGGUCGGGUGGGUGUGGGGUAUAAUGGGUAUGUAACUUAGGGCCUGUUUGAUCCCCAUUCUUUGGAAAAAUGAAUUUUUCUAUAGUAAUUUAAUAUCAUUUCAACCACACAUUCUUCAAUAAAAUAAUAUUACAAGCAAAUUCAAAAAAAUUUCUUAUUUUUAAACUACACAUUUUCCAUCAAUACACUAUUCAAAAAUUCAUUUUUUCCCUCAAAACGGGGCUCAAACAAGGGCUUAAUUUAAUUUGAGUGGAGU
rnacentral:lncRNA from 1 species